AGUAAUGUCUGGGAAACUGCCUGAUGGAGGGGGAUAACUACUGGAAACGGUAGCUAAUACCGCAUAAUGUCGCAAGACCAAAGUGGGGGGCCUUCGGGCCUCAUGCCAUCAGAUGUGCCCAGAUGGGAUUAGCUAGUAGGUGGGGUAACGGCUCACCUAGGCGACGAUCCCUAGCUGGUCUGAGAGGAUGACCAGCCACACUGGAACUGAGACACGGUCCAG
rnacentral:rRNA from 1 species